UUAGAGUGUAGAGGUGGCAGGGUAGCCUAGUGGUUAGAGCGUAGAGGUGGCAGGGUAGCCUAGUGGUUAGAGCGUAGAGGUGGCAGGGUAGCCUAGUGGUUAGAGCGUAGAGGUGGCAGGGUAGCCUAGUGGUUAGAGCGUAGAGGUGGCAGGGUAGCCUAGUGGUUAGAGCGUAGAGGUGGCAGGGUAGCCUAGUGGUUAGAGCGUAGAGGUGGCAGGGUAGCCUAGUGGUUAGAGCGUAGAGGUGGCAGGGUAGCCUAGUGGUUAGAGCGUAGAGGUGGCAGGGUAGCCUAGUGGUUAGAGCGUAGAGGUGGCAGGGUAGCCUAGUGGUUAGAGCGUAGAGGUGGCAGGGUAGCCUAGUGGUUAGAGCGUAGAGGUGGCAGGGUAGCCUAGUGGUUAGAGCGUAGAGGUGGCAGGGUAGCCUAGUGGUUAGAGCGUAGAGGUGGCAGGGUAGCCUAGUGGUUAGAGCGUAGAGGUGGCAGGGUAGCCUAGUGGUUAGAGCGUAGAGGUGGCAGGGUAGCCUAGUGGUUAGAGCGUAGAGGUGGCAGGGUAGCCUAGUGGUUAGAGUGUAGAGGUGGCAGGGUAGCCUAGUGGUUAGAGCGUUGGACUAGUAACCGAAAGGUUG